CAGCAGCCGCGGUAAUACGAACCGUGCGAACGUUAUUCGGAAUCACUGGGCUUAAAGCGCGUGUAGGCGGGCCGUCACGUCGUUCGCUGAAAUCCCCCGGCUCAACCGGGGAACGGGCGGCGAUACGAGCGGCCUGGAGGGGGGUAGGGGGGCCUGGAACUUCCGGUGGAGCGGUGAAAUGCGUUGAGAUCGGAAGGAACGCCCGUGGCGAACGCGAGGCCCUGGACCCUUACUGACGCUGAGACGCGAAAGCCAGGGGAGCGAACGGGAUUAGAUACCCCAGUAGUCCCUGUCUCUUAUA
rnacentral:rRNA from 1 species